GAUGAACGCUGGCGGCGUGCCUAAUACAUGCAAGUCGAGCGAACAGACGAGGAGCUUGCUCCUCUGACGUUAGCGGCGGACGGGUGAGUAACACGUGGAUAACCUACCUAUAAGACUGGGAUAACUUCGGGAAACCGGAGCUAAUACCGGAUAAUAUAUUGAACCGCAUGGUUCAAUAGUGAAAGACGGUUUUGCUGUCACUUAUAGAUGGAUCCGCGCCGCAUUAGCUAGUUGGUAAGGUAACGGCUUACCAAGGCGACGAUGCGUAGCCGACCUGAGAGGGUGAUAGGCCACACUGGAACUGAGACACGGUCCAGACUCCUACGGGAGGCAGCAGUAGGGAAUCUUCCGCAAUGGGCGAAAGCCUGACGGAGCAACGCCGCGUGAGUGAUGAAGGUCUUCGGAGCGUAAAACUCUGUUAUUAGGGAAGAACAAAUGUGUAAGUAACUAUGCACGUCUUGACGGUACCUAAUCAGAAAGCCACGGCUAACUACGUG
rnacentral:rRNA from 1 species